GAUGAACGCUAGCGACAGGCCUAACACAUGCAAGUCGAGGGGCAGCAUUACCGCUUGCGGUAGAUGGCGACCGGCGCACGGGUGAGUAACGCGUAUGCAACCUGCCUUGUACAGGGGGAUAGCCCGGAGAAAUCCGGAUUAAUACCGCAUAACAAUCAUAUAUCGCAUGAUUAAUGAUUUAAACCUACGGGGGUACAAGAUGGGCAUGCGUAGCAUUAGUUAGUUGGUGAGGUAAAGGCUCACCAAGACGAUGAUGCUUAGGGGGUCUGAGAGGAUAGUCCCCCACACUGGUACUGAGACACGGACCAGACUCCUACGGGAGGCAGCAGUGAGGAAUAUUGGUCAAUGGACGCAAGUCUGAACCAGCCAUGUCGCGUGCAGGAUGACGGCCCCUACGGGUUUGUAAAACUGCUUUUUACGGGAAUAAACACAUCUACGAGUAGAUGUCUGAAGGUACCGUAUGAAUAAGGAUCGGCU
rnacentral:rRNA from 1 species